GCCGGGCGCCGUGGCUGGUGCCUGUGAUCCCAGCGGCGGGGGAGGCUGAGGCCGGCGGAUCGCUUGAGCUCAGGAGUUCUGGGCUGCAGCGGGCUGUGCCGAGCGGGUGUCCGCACUGAGGUCGGCAUCGAUAUGGGGAUCCCGGGGAAGCUCGGGGUCCCCAGGUUGCCUAAGGAGAGGUGAACCGGCCCAGGUCGGAAACGGAGCAGGUCAAAGCUCCCGUGCCGAUCAGUAGUGGGAUCGCGCCUGUGAAUGGCCCCUGCAGCGUAGCCUGGGCGAGACAGUGAGACCCGGUCUCUU
ensembl:misc_RNA Metazoa_SRP Metazoan signal recognition particle RNA